GAAGUUGGAGUCGCUAGUAAUCGCAGAUCAGCAACGCUGCGGUGAAUACGUUCCCGGGCCCUGUACACACCGCCCGUCACGUCAUGAAAGUCGGUAACACCCGAAGCCGGUGGCCUAACCCCUUGUGGGAGGGAGCCGUCGAAGGUGGGAUCGGCGAUUGGGACGAAGUCGUAACAAGGUAACCGUACCGGAAGGUGCGGCUGGAUCACCUCCUUU
rnacentral:rRNA from 1 species